rnacentral:lncRNA from 1 species
CUUGGAGGCGAGAAACUUGGUGAUGGACGGAACCACAGAUCCGAUGGUUGUGUCUGCAAAUGAUCAUCGAUUCUUGCUUUUGUGACUGAAACCCGAUCUGUGAAACCCGAUUGUGUGAGAAAUCGAUUUGUGAAAAUUGAAGAGUGAAGACUUAAAAAGAAGAAAGCGAGGCUGUGAAGAUUUAAGGUUGAAAACUGGAGAAAAACCAAAGAAGAGAGUGAAGCGUGAGGCUGUGAAAUCUGAAAUGUGAGUAAAAGGCUAUCUAUUGCGAUUUUUUGUGGAUGGG